UAAAAUCUUCGGGGUUGGGUGAAAUUCCCUAUCGGCGGUACAGCCCGCGAGCUAUAAUUAGCAGAUUCGGUUAAAUUCCGAAGCCGACAGUAAAGUCUGGAUGAAAGAAGAUAGUG
rnacentral:ncRNA from 2 species